rnacentral:lncRNA from 1 species
GUUGGUUCUUAAUGGAAGAAGAAUCAGUCAUUGCGAUUAUUCUUGUGGUAGGAUGCCAUACCACCAGUGUAGACCUCCUGCACUCAGGCUCAGAUAUUUCUGCAAGAAUAGAGGAGCAGAAAGAAAUACUAUAAUGAAGGCCAAAGUGGAGUAUAAACAAAAUGGAGGGAUUAUUUGUUAAGCCUUUGAGAAUAUGCUGAAGGAAUAACAACUUUAUUGUAACUGCUGCGUGACAACAUGGAGAGAUGCGUCCUGAUGUCAAUGAUGAUAAAGCAUCAAAAAGUGUGCAUCUUAGAAUGAACAAAUUCUAAGUUAGUUAUGAUUGUUGGGGCUAACACAUUUUCAAUAUGUAUUUUUUUUCAAUGCAUGAAGCUAAAAUGAGAAAUAAUUAUAACACUUCACACUUGUUUACAACUUUACAGCCUCCAAAGCAUUUCCCUACACAUUAUCUGAUUAAAAUUUCAGCCUAGAACCAACACUAGCAACAGCAUCGUUAUCUCUGGUGGUAGAUGACAUUUUUAAAACCAUGUCAAUGAUGUUAUUCUGCAAGUUUGUAUUUACACACUUCUUCAUUUCAUUUACUAGUUGUGGCAGACUGCAUGUCCACCAAAAUCCAUUCUCCCUUUUUUCCUGGUACAACUGGGCUGUAUUUUCCAGGCUCCCUGAAGAGUUAUGGCUGUGUGACUGAGUUCUAGUCAAUGGAAUGUGAACAUACAAGGUAUAUACUACUUUCAGGCCUGGCCCAUACAAUUAUUCAGUACAUGCUCUCCCCUCCAUUUAAACAUUGGAGACAUUUUACUGGGAGACAAAUGUGAAGAUGGUAUAGCCUCCAUCACUCUAGGUCUUUAAAUGGCUUUGUAGUUCCUGUUAUCCCCACCCUAAGCAGUUACAUAAAAAAGUAAUAAACAUUGUUCUUUAAGCCAUUGAAUUCUGAAAUUUAUGUGUCAUCAUGUCUUAGCUUGCUUUUUUAAUUAAAAAAUUUUUAAACUUUUAUUUUAAGUUCAGGAGUACAUAUGCAGGUUUGUUAUGUAGGUAGAUUGCAUGUCAUGGGGGUUUGGAGUACAGAUCAUUUCAUCACCCAGGUAGUAAGCAUAAUUUCCAAUAUGUAGUUUAUUGAUCCUCACCCUCCUCCCACCUUCCACCCUCAAUUAGGCCCUGAUGUCUAUUGUUCUCUUCUUUGUGUCUAUGUGUACUCAAUGUUUAGCUCCCACUUAUAAGUGACAACAUGCAGGAUUUGGUUUUCUGUUUCUGUGUUAGUUUGCUUAGGUGAAUGACUUCCAGCUCCAUCAUGUUGCUGCAAAGGACACAAUCUCAUUCUUUACUAUGGCUGUGUGGUAUUCUAUGGUGUACAUGUACCACAUUUUCUUUAUCCAGUCUACCAUUAAUGGACAUUUAGUUGAUUCCAUGUCUUUGCUAUUGUGAAUAGUGCUGCAAUGAACACACAUGUGCAUGUGUCUUUAUGGCAGAAUGAUUUACAUUCUUCUGGGUAUACACUCGGUAAAGGGAUUGCUGGGUCAAGUGGUAUUUCUCUUUUAAGUUCUUUGAGAAAUCUCCAAGCUGCUUUCCACGAUGACUGAACUAAUUUACAUUCCCACCAGCAGUGUAUGUGUUCCCUUUUCUCCGCAAACUUGCAGGCAUCUGUUAUUUUUUUGACCUUUUAAUAACAGCAAUUAUGACUGGUGUAAGAUGGUAUCUCAUUGUGAUUUGCAUUUCUGUAACUACUAGUGACAUUGAGCAUCUUUUUAUAUGCUUGUUGGCUGCUUGUAAGUCUUCUCUUGAAAAGUAUCUGUUCAUGUGCUUUGCCCACUUUUUAAUGAGUUGUUGGUUUUUUGCUUGUUAAUUUGUUUAAGCUCCUUAUAGAUUCUAUACAUUAGAUAUUUGUUGAAUGCACAGUUUGCAAAUAUUUUCUCCCAUUCUGUAGAUUGUCUAUUUACUCUGUUGGUUGUUGCUUUUGUUGUGCAGAAGCUCUGUAGUUCAAUUAGGUCCAAUUUGUCAAUUUGUGUUUUUGUUGUAAUAAAAUCUUUACCAGAGCC